GACGAACGCUGGCGGCGUGCCUAAUACAUGCAAGUAGAACGCUGAAGAGAGGAGCUUACUCUUCUUGGAUGAGUUGCGAACGGGUGAGUAACGCGUAGGUAACCUGCCUUGUAGCGGGGGAUAACUAUUGGAAACGAUAGCUAAUACCGCAUAACAAUGGAUGACACAUGUCAUUUAUUUGAAAGUGGCAAUUGCUCCACUACAAGACGGACCUGCGUUGUAUUAGCUAGUAGGUGAGGUAAUGGCUCACCUAGGCGACGAUACAUAGCCGACCUGAGAGGGUGGUCGGCCACACUGGGACGGAGACACGGCCCAGAAUCCUACGGGAGGGAGCAGGAGGGAAUCUUCGGCAAUGGGGGCAACGCUGACCGAGCAACGCCGCGUGAGUGAAGAAGGUUGUCGGGUCGUAAAGGUCUGUUGUAAGUGAAGAACGGGUGUGAGAGUGGAAAGUUCACACUGUGACGGUAGCUUACCAGAAAGGGACGGCUAACUACGUG
rnacentral:rRNA from 1 species